rnacentral:rRNA from 1 species
UGCGGUAACCUUCGACCGUGCAAAGGUAGCAUAAUCAUUUGCCUUAUAAUUGAAGGCUUGUAUGAAUGGUUUGACAAGAAUGCAACUGUCUCUUCGUGAUUUGCUAGAACUUUAUUUGUGGGUGAAGAAGCCUACAUUGUAUUAAAAGACAAGAAGACCCUAUCGAGCUUGAAAGAAGUUAGCGGUUUUAAAUUUAUGAGGUGAAAGAUUGAGUCUGCUAUAGAUUUUGGUUGGGGCGACUGAGGAACAAGAGUAGCUUCCUUUAUUUUGUGUUUUCUGGCUAGUGUGGAUCCAAGAAAUCUUGAUUGAAGGAAUUAGUUACCGUAGGGAUAACAGCAUUAUCUUUUUUGAGAGCUCUUAUCGAAAAAAAGGUUUGUGACCUCGAUGUUGGACCAGAAUGUCCUGAAGAUGCAGAAGUCUUUAAGGGUUGGUCUGUUCGACCAUUAAA